AGAGUUUGAUCCUGGCUCAGGAUGAACGCUAGCGACAGGCUUAACACAUGCAAGUCGAGGGGCAGCACAGGUAGCAAUACCGGGUGGCGACCGGCGCACGGGUGAGUAACGCGUAUGCAACUUACCUAUCAGAGGGGGAUAACCCGGCGAAAGUCGGACUAAUACCGCAUGAAGCAGGGGCCCCGCAUGGGGAUAUUUGCUAAAGAUUCAUCGCUGAUAGAUAGGCAUGCGUUCCAUUAGGCAGUUGGCGGGGUAACGGCCCACCAAACCGACGAUGGAUAGGGGUUCUGAGAGGAAGGUCCCCCACAUUGGUACUGAGACACGGACCAAACUCCUACGGGAGGCAGCAGUGAGGAAUAUUGGUCAAUGGCUGAGAGGCUGAACCAGCCAAGUCGCGUGAGGGAUGAAGGUUCUAUGGAUCGUAAACCUCUUUUAUAAGGGAAUAAAGUGCGGGACGUGUCCCGUUUUGUAUGUACCUUAUGAAUAAGGAUCGGCUAACUCCGUGCCAGCAGCCGCGGUAAUACGGAGGAUCCGAGCGUUAUCCGGAUUUAUUGGGUUUAAAGGGUGCGUAGGCGGCCUUUUAAGUCAGCGGUGAAAGUCUGUGGCUCAACCAUAGAAUUGCCGUUGAAACUGGGGGGCUUGAGUAUGUUUGAGGCAGGCGGAAUGCGUGGUGUAGCGGUGAAAUGCAUAGAUAUCACGCAGAACCCCGAUUGCGAAGGCAGCCUGCCAAGCCAUUACUGACGCUGAUGCACGAAAGCGUGGGGAUCAAACAGGAUUAGAUACCCUGGUAGUCCACGCAGUAAACGAUGAUCACUAGCUGUUUGCGAUACACUGUAAGCGGCACAGCGAAAGCGUUAAGUGAUCCACCUGGGGAGUACGCCGGCAACGGUGAAACUCAAAGGAAUUGACGGGGGCCC
rnacentral:rRNA from 1 species